rnacentral:rRNA from 1 species
AAAUUGAAGAGUUUGAUCAUGGCUCAGAUUGAACGCUGGCGGCAGGCCUAACACAUGCAAGUCGAACGGUAACAGRAAGMAGCUUGCUKCUUUGCUGACGAGUGGCGGACGGGUGAGUAAUGUCUGGGAAACUGCCUGAUGGAGGGGGAUAACUACUGGAAACGGUAGCUAAUACCGCAUAACGUCGCAAGACCAAAGAGGGGGACCUUCGGG